AGGAAGAAGAUAGGGCAAGAAAUCCCCAAAUCCCUCGCGAUUUGGGCUCUCGCAACCCUAUUUCUAGAGUGCGGGGCUUGCAACGCAGUCGCGGGUGAGCUAGAAAUUGGACUUUCAAAAGAGAAACCAAGAAACCAUUUGGACAUGCGUCACCGUUUGGAUUCUAGAGGUCAACGUGAGGGGAAAAUCAUUGAUUAUAGUUCUUCUUUUGAAUAGAGUCAGUGAGCUAAGAGUUGUUGAACUUCUGGAUGGACUCUGUGAAAAAAUGCAAGACUACACUCUUAUGAAGGUUGCUGGAGGAAACAGAGGAUGAGCUUGCCGAGUGGAUAAAACGAGGGUCUGUACACCCAGGAGGUGUGAGCAAGGCUCUUUGUCAAGACCUUAGCAAGCACUGCAGCUCUUCAAGAGCGGAAAGAACUGAACAUCCAAUGAUAGUUGAAUAUUCAGAGAUCCCAGAUGUAAUCAUGUGUGGAAAGGCUCUCGGAGCAAAGGUUCUUAUGAUUAUUGGGAAAAAGAAAAAAUCCUCAUGUUGGUGAGUCUCGUGCAAACUAUCUUGACGUAAUUGAGAUGUGCAUUUGGAAUAUGAGUUUGGGUGUGGAUAGUGGAGUCCAACUCAUGCACAUGCAUAGACGCGUGCGCACACACAUAUAUUCUUCUAGUUAAAGAAAGUGUUUUUGUUUUAUGUUGGACGAUUCUCCUCAUUGUAUAUUGAAUUUUCAGAAAGAUCGUGAUUGCUUUGGAUGUGAUGCAAAUACUUGUGAUGCAAAUUCUGGUUUAUAGGUGUUUGAUGUAGGCUAAGUGCCAAUUAUAAUAUACUCUCGAGCUUUGGUUGAUUGUAUUGUGGUCGAUUAACUUAAUCUUGUAGGGCUGAGAUAAGGUACCCUGUUGAAGUUAUUUAUCUCUUACACUUUUUUUUUAUUUUUUAUUUUUUAUAAAGCGGUGGUCUAUCACCUUGUUUGAGGGUAAACCUUGGCACAAUGGUAAGGUUGCUCAAUUGUGACCUGAUUGUCACAAAUUCGAGAUACAUAAAUAACCUCUUUGCUUUGAGGGCAAGGCUAUGUACAUCUGACCUUCUGCAGACCCGCAGUAGUUGGAGUCUCAUGCACUAGGCCACCUUUUAUUCUAUCCCAUUAUUUUAAGGAGUUUCCACCUCAGUGCUGUCCAUUUGCCAAUUUCCACUACCAUGCUCCCACGCCUUCUGGUGCUUAUGCUAGUAGCUAUUGUACAUGAUAUUAUCUAAAUUGCUAAUUUCAAUCACUCUAAGCCACCUCUUGUUUUCUUACCUUACUAAAUGAAUCAGAUUAGUUGUCCUAUUGAAUCAACUUUUAUUGAUUUAUUUAAAUGCUUGGGUUAAUUUCGUACUAUUUUUUAAGACCAAUGUUCUGUAUUCCUGCACCUGUACCUGCUCAUAUCUUCAGCUACCUCUUCUGUGAUAGCAGUUCAUCUAUGUAGCAUGGCAGGGGGGAUGAAACGUGAGUUAAUAAAAAGGUAUUCUGACAGGAAUUAAACCUGAGGCUUAACAAACUUAAUAGACUUGAAUUGGAUGACUUGGAGAUGGAUGAAGAGGAGAAUUAGAAUUGAAAACUGGAAGAAGGGCUCUUCGCUUUUCAAGCAAGCAGUAUGUUUUGAUAAUGAGUAUCAUGAUAAUAUUGGAGAUCUGGAUAGACCUGAAGAGAAGGAGCGAGCACAAGCAAAGUUCCAAAAAAUUAAUCGCUGUAUUUUGAUCCGUUCCACAAAGCAUCAGUUAUGGGGAUAUCUGUUGUGAAAGAAGUGUUGAAGGCUUGUCAGACAGACAAAAGUUCUAUCAGGGGAUGCAUGUGGAUGUUAUUGUUAGCAUGAUAUAUGGCUUUGAGUUUUGACAUGUUAAGACAUAAUCGCAAAUUUUAAGCAGUUCACUUUUUCUUUUGUUGUAACUUAAUGGCAUGUUAUUUUUGAGAAGUCAGUGCAUUGUCUUAGAAUUCCUGCAUAUCAAAGAUUCAAAGUGAAGCUGCUUGCCCAUCAGGUGUAGUGUUCUCUCCCUCAUAUACAUGAAGACCGCUUAAAAGUCCCCUUCACCUUCUCAAGUUCGACUGAUGAGCAUUAUUUGUUUGCCUCAUCAAAAUGCAGGAUCAAGCUACCCAAUUUUUCAGAUGAGGUUUAACAUGUCCAUCUUCUUGUCUACUGAAUGUUAUUUUUCAUCCAUUUGCCUUGUUCUA